rnacentral:lncRNA from 1 species
GGAGAAGGACCUUCUAGCUAGACCAUCACCCAUUCAAGUUACCCAAUUUCGUGCAACUUUCUGUUUUAGUUUUUAGUUUACUUGGUUUAUUUUAAAUUCGUCCAAAACCCAAUCCCCCUUUACUUUGAAGUGUUCAAUUAGUUAGAAUCUGUUUUAGUUUGUGUUUUUAAGUGUUUUGAGUUAAGUAGAAGUCAAUUUUCGUCCAAAGUUGUUGUUAGUGUCUAAUUUGAGUCUAUUUAGUUGUUUUGUGCUAUUUUGAGUCUUUUAAGUUUGUUUUGAGUCUUAUGAGUCUUGUUAAGUGUUUUUAAGUUUAUUUUUGUGUUUCUAAGUCAGUUUAGUUUAGAUUAGCAAUCCAUCCUAAUCCCCGGUCCAGAACGAUACCUACUUAUACAUAUACUACAAUUGUCAAAAGAGGGUUUAAUUUGUGUGUUAGUUUUUAACGCACCAGGGCCUAAUUUCUAGUUAUUACUAAAAUUAGGGUAAAAUAUAUAGUAUAAUAUUUGACUCAUCAUUUGACACACCCCGACCCAAAUCAGGGCAUGCUGGCGUCACAUGAGGGUGACGUAGCCAUGUGCACUAUGCGGAAGCAAUAAUGAUAAUAGAGAAUACGAAUAAAUAAAAACCAACUCAUAAGAGUACUAGCUAAGAUAAGUGCUAGAAAAUGUGUGAAUACAC